AAAGUCGUAACAAGGUUUCCGUAGGUGAACCUGCGGAAGGAUCAUUAAUGAAAUGCAAGGGUGUUCUUUUUAGGAGCCCGACCCAAAUCAUUUUCACACUGUGCACUAUACUAUUUUACACCCAUUUUAAACCCAUUAUAAUAUAAGAAUGUCAACAGUCUCUUAAUUGAGCAAAAACAAAACAAAACUUUCGACAACGGAUCUCUUGGCUCCC
rnacentral:misc_RNA from 1 species